rnacentral:lncRNA from 1 species
GCUGGAAGAAUGCCAUUGAUUAGGGUCCAGAGGAACUGGAGAAUGAACAAUGAAGCCCUUGAGGAUGAUAGAACCAUGAUGAUGAUAAUAUACCCUUGCAAACAAGAUAAUACUUAAGACCUCUGAAGAGUCAGGAAACCCUAAUUGAAAUGCAAACCCUCAGAUGGUUGAUCAUCAAUCCAUGGAAACCCUCAGGCUUG